CUGCCCAGUGAUUAAUUUUAAACGGCCGCGGUAUCCUAACCGUGCAAAGGUAGCAUAAUCACUUGCCUAUUAAUUGUAGGCUAGAAUGAAUGGAUAAACGUAAUAAAUACUGUCUCAAUUAUUAUUAUAUAACUUAACAUUUACACGAAGAGUUGUAAAUGAAUUCGAAGGACAAGAAGACCCUAUAGAGCUUUAUUACUAGUGUGACGGAAUAUCAUAUGAAAAAUUCGGUUGGGGCGACCUGGGGAACAUGAAGAAACACCCCCUGUAUGAAAGAUUAAUUAAUCAAGAUAAUGACCCUAAAAAGAUCAUAAAAACAAGCUACCUUAGGGAUAACAGGCUAAUCCUAUUUAAGAGUUCAUAUCUACAAUAGGGUUUGGCACCUCGAUGUUGGCUUAGGGAAUCAUCUUAGCGCAAAAGUUAAGAAAAGAUGGUUUGUUCAACCAAUAACCCCU
rnacentral:rRNA from 1 species